AUGAACGCUGGCGGCGUGCCUAAUACAUUCAAGUCGAGCGAACGGACGAGAAGCUUGCUUCUCUGAUGUUAGCGGCGGACGGGUGAGUAACACGUGGAUAACCUACCUAUAAGACUGGGAUAACUUCGGGAAACCGGAGCUAAUACCGGAUAAUAUUUUGAACCGCAUGGUUCAAAAGUGAAAGACGGUCUUGCUGUCACUUAUAGAUGGAUCCGCGCUGCAUUAGCUAGUUGGUAAGGUAACGGCUUACCAAGGCAACGAUGCAUAGCCGACCUGAGAGGGUGAUCGGCCACACUGGAACUGAGACACGGUCCAGACUCCUACGGGAGGCAGCAGUAGGGAAUCUUCCGCAAUGGGCGAAAGCAUGACGGAGCAACGCCGAGUGAGUGAUGAAGGUCUUCGGAUCGUAAAACUCUGUUAUUAGGGAAGAACAUAUGUGUAAGUAACUGUGCACAUCUUGACGGUACCUAAUCAGAAAGCCACGGCUAACUACGUG
rnacentral:rRNA from 1 species